UACGUAGGGGGCUAGCGUUGUCCGGAAUCAUUGGGCGUAAAGAGCGUGUAGGCGGCUCGGUAAGUCCGCUGUGAAAGUCCAGGGCUCAACCCUGGAAUGCCAGUGGAAACUGUCGAGCUAGAGUCCGGAAGAGGCGAGUGGAAUUCCUGGUGUAGCGGUGAAAUGCGCAGAUAUCAGGAGGAACACCAAUGGCGAAGGCAGCUCGCUGGGACGGUACUGACGCUGAGACGCGAAAGCGUGGGGAGCAAACAGGG
rnacentral:rRNA from 1 species